AGGCGACGUUGACAGUGGCCAAGUCUCUUUCGACACCGCACAAGUUGAUGCCACGCUGGAAGAGGAUGUAUCCGGCGUCACCAAACCCAGGCCCCCAAGAAUUACGAAUAAUCUACACAAAGCUGCUGAAAUCCAAAAGAAAUGAAUUAUUACCCAAUAAUCCGUGCCGUCAUCAGAGGUGCCGUAGCCCACGGCAGCGAUGGCGUGAAGACCUUCAUUGCCUUCGCAGGGAGUGGUGUACACGCCGGAUCUAGUCGAAACAGCCCCCGAAAAUAAUGAUUCAGCAAUUUGUUUGGAAUUUAUUAAUCUUUUCAACACCAACGGUACCUGUAGCUCAUGAAUUUGUCGGUAACUCCGAUGCAAACGGCGACGACCUUCCUCCUGGCCAGCAACCUCAUUACGCCAUUUUCGUCUCCUUGUUGCAGAACGAUGAUGGGAUUGGUGGCAGCUAGUUGAGCUCCUUUCCUCCUAUUCUUGCAGGUGGGUCCUCUCACUUUCGUUUCACCCGACACGUAAGGGUAGUAAGCGGAGUAAGCCUGGCCGCCGGCCGUGAUGAGGGAGUUCCAAUACUCGUGAUAGGAUCCACCUCCGCAUUCCCUAUCGGGAAAGUCGCAAUCGACGAUUUGCUGCUCACUGUUCACGGGAAAAGAAAUUAGCUAAAUCAAUUGGAAAAUUAUCUUGUCCAAGUUAUAUAUACCUGAGAUUGACCGGCCUUCCUGAUUUCAUACACUGGGCAAAUUCAACGGCCGCGGUGGCUGCGAAGGCGGAACAGCUUCCACACGCACCUUGAUUUUUAACGGGUUGCAUGCAUCGGUGAUCACGCACAUCAAACUUACGGAGCUGGGCAGAUAUCGGAGAGUGAGAUCAUCGUCUUCCUCGACCAGUCCAGUUUCAAAUCCCAAUUCUUGGUAAAGAGAUUUGGUCGAAGCGAGAGUGUUGUUUAGUAAGUACUUUUUACGUUCCUCGACGUCCUAUGAAUUUGCAUUGCAAAUUUACAUAUGACCAAAAUGACAAAUGAGAAAUUCUAAUACCAAAACAGAGAAUUCGUUGUGUCCCAUUUGAUAGGUGGAUUUAGGAUCGGCGUUGUGUUCUUCGAUGAUGCUGUGGAUCCUCUCGAAAUUGGAUUUGGACUUUCCAUACUCAGCUUUGGUUUUGAUUCCCAACGGGCUAUAAAUUUUUACCAGAUAUUGUUGCCAAGCGUCUUCCACGUCGGCACGGGUCUGAAUAACCCCACAGACAACUACCAGCAAGGCGACAAGGAAGAUAAAUUUCGACAUUCUACAUAAAUUUAACAAAUCACCGAUAAACCUAUUAUAUUUUACAGUAUGCGAAAAGGGACUUACCUCCAGACCGAGAAGAGCAGAAUAGGCAGAUGAGUCCGAUACCGGCGAUUUUUAUAGGUCCGAUUAUUGAUUCAAUGCAAACAGGUGUCCAUCUGUCACCAAUUUCCGAUUUGGUGUACGUGGCUUUAUAUAUAUGGCAUUCACGAAAUCCUUUAUUUUACACCUACGUAGCCUACCUUAUUUUACACGCUAUGCAGACCGCAUCUGUCAGCAGCUACAAAUAAUGAUCCCGCGAUUAAUAUUGAUACAGCCCUUAUCAAUGUCCUUCCAAAAUAGUCAGCUGUUUCGCCAUAGCGCACUUCAAAUAACUUUCCGAAUUAGUCCAAUGACUUAUCAGAGGUUAAGCUUGAUCAUCAAUUUAAUUCUAAUUAAAAUUUUGAAAAGACUGUGUAUAAACAGCGAAGCCAAUUUAAACAAAAAGCCGAAGGACAUGGGCGUUGCGUUCUCAGUGACCCGUGAAGGAGAGAAAACGAAGGUCCAUUCCAGGAUUCUUUACAAUUGGACGAAUGACAAUAAAUAUGUAAGACUCUCGACAACGCCAAAAAAUGAAAAACAACUUUGCAACUGAAAACGAGAAAAAACAAUCGCGCUGAUUUUUGAUUGAUUAAUUAUUGCAGCUCUGUACAUGGCACGAAUGAGUUAUGAUAAUGUGAAAUGCCGAGUGCAUAUUAUAUCUUUCGAAAUCAAACACAUUUGAAAGUUUAUUCAGCGUCUAGUGAUUUGACAAUACUUUCUAUAAGAAGUCUUGAAUGACAGUUUGGAUUACGUGCCAUAAAACAAGGCCAUAUCGUCACCCCUGUUACUUUUCCGAUAGAGGGUAGCAUAUAGCUUUACAGUUAUCAAACAACCUGUUCUCCGGUACAAAGUAAGAAAAAACGAACCUGUACUGUAUCAAUUUUUUUUUUUUCUAAAUCAACAUUUCACAAACUGACUGGCGAUUGCGCUCUGAUGUCGUAUUUUCUAUGAUUUCCCAUUGCGCGUCUGUGUUAAUAAAUACUGAAAAAUGAUUUUUUGUUUUUUCAGCCGAGCUGCAAUCAGUUUUUCCUGGCCGUGGGCGACAGUUAAUAUCCGGUUGUAACUGUGUAUAUAGAACUGGUUUUCUUCUGGGCGUGGCCUUUUUUUAGUCUGUUAUUUUACCCUUUAACGGCGCAUCAUUUAAAAUGUGAAGGUUUAAGUUAAUGCCUCUUUCCAACAUAAUGUUAUCUGAAAGUAUCAAAUUUUUUUUUAAAUAUUUCUAAAUUGAAUUUCGCAAAUUUUUGAAUAAAUCGAUAAACAUUAAAAACUA